AACGCUAGCUACAGGCUUAACACGUGCAAGUCGAGGGGCAGCAUGGUCUUAGCUUGCUAAGGCCGAUGGCGACCGGCGCACGGGGGAGUAACACGUAUCCAACCUGCCGUCUACUCUUGGACAGCCUUCUGAAAGGAAGAUUAAUACAAGAUGGCAUCAUGAGUUCACAUGUUCACAUGAUUAAAGGUAUUCCGGUAGACGAUGGGGAUGCGUUCCAUUAGAUAGUAGGCGGGGUAACGGCCCACCUAGUCUUCGAUGGAUAGGGGUUCUGAGAGGAAGGUCCCCCACAUUGGAACUGAGACACGGUCCAAACUCCUACGGGAGGCAGCAGUGAGGAAUAUUGGUCAAUGGGCGCAGGCCUGAACCAGCCAAGUAGCGUGAAGGAUGACUGCCCUAUGGGUUGUAAACUUCUUUUAUAAAGGAAUAAAGUCGGGUAUGUAUACCCGUUUGCAUGUACUUUAUGAAUAAGGAUCGGCUAACUCCGUGCCAGCAGCCGCGGUAAUACGGAGGAUCCGAGCGUUAUCCGGAUUUAUUGGGUUUAAAGGGAGCGUAGAUGGAUGUUUAAGUCAGUUGUGAAAGUUUGCGGCUCAACCGUAAAAUUGCAGUUGAUACUGGAUAUCUUGAGUGCAGUUGAGGCAGGCGGAAUUCGUGGUGUAGCGGUGAAAUGCUUAGAUAUCACGAAGAACUCCGAUUG
rnacentral:rRNA from 1 species